AGGCAAAGAAACUGCUAAAGCAAAUUGCGCUAAAGCCCUACGUAGAACUGAGAAGAAAUAUGGAGUAGGAGUCAUGUGAUCAGCUUUAAAUAGCCCAACAAUAAAAUGUGUGUCCCCUCUUUGGGAGACCUCUAAAGAAUUUAUAGAAAGACACCUAGAUCAGUAAUCCAAACAACGAGCCUGGUUCCCCCCACAUUUUUAAUUCUGCACCGAGCAUGAAAGAGCUCUCUCAGAUCCCGGCUGAGGGUUUGGCUUGGAGCCUGAUGAGGAGGAUGUGAUCACAGGGCGGCCUCUGUGCCGAAGAAUAGACAGGACACGCUUACCACCGCGCCACCGCACCCACCUUCUGCCUCUCACACCCACGCCCCGGUCUGCCAGGGAGGCCAUAGAGGGGAGGCUGUCCCCACCCCAGCUGCAAGCUACCCUCUGCCAGUUCUGCCUUGUUCAAACCCCCGAACCUGCGGUGCCAGCGUUGGAUCCGAAGAUGCUGCCUCAUCUGCAUAUGAUAAACAAACAUCCCUAGAGAUGGAGUUUCCAUGCCAGGUGGACGAGGUUAACACCCUGGGAUAAGCUCUACUGUCUACUGUGUGAAUCAUGUUUGAGUUUCUGUGCUGAGAUAGGUUUCAGUUUCAACACAGGCUACCCAAAAUAUACUCUGUUGUCAGUUAAUUACCAAAAGAUAUAUCAUCCUUUUGUUACAUAAAUGUUUAUUAUUGAAUAAAUAUAGAUGUUAAUUUGUUAA